rnacentral:rRNA from 1 species
GUAGUCCACGCCGUAAACGGUGGGUGCUAGGUGUGAGCGGUAUUCCACGCCGUUCGUGCCGCAGCUAACGCAUUAAGCACCCCGCCUGGGGAGUACGGCCGCAAGGCUAAAACUCAAAGGAAUUGACGGGGGCCCGCACAAGCAGCGGAGCAUGUGGCUUAAUUCGACGCAACGCGAAGAACCUUACCAAGGCUUGACAUGCAGGGAAAUCUCCCAGAGAUGGGAGUCCGCAAGGGUCCUGCACAGGUGGUGCAUGGUUGUCGUCAGCUCGUGUCGUGAGAUGUUGGGUUAAG